UGAAUACAUAUCUCAAUAGGC
rnacentral:piRNA from 1 species